GUUUUUAUAGUUUAAGUAAAAUAAUAAUUUUGUAAAUUAUAGAUGAUUACUCUAAAAACU
rnacentral:tRNA from 1 species